UGCAGCUCGAUCUUAAGUGUUAAUCUUAGAGGUUUGGUUGCUCGUGUUCGAUCUGGGUUUGUCAAGGUUGAAGAGCUGGACUACUUUGAAGAAAGAACUCUGAAGAACUAAAGAACAUAGAAGUUUGCUCAUCAGAGUUUGGACAUAGAAGAACUGGUCAGAGUUGAAUUUGGAAGAACUAAGAAGAUAUACGCGAUUCUGCAAGAGACGUUGCAAGCAUUAGGUGGUA